CAGAGAUGCGGGAGUGCCUCUCUAAUGAGAGGAACGGUGAGACAGGUGGUGCAUGGUUGUCGUCAGCUCGUGUCGUGAGAUGUUGGGUUAAGUCCCGCAACGAGCGCAACCCCUGUCGCAUGUUGCCAGCGGGUAAAGCCGGGCACUCAUGCGAGACUGCCGGUGACAAACCGGAGGAAGGUGGGGAUGACGUCAAGUCAGCAUGGCCUUUAUGUCUGGGGCCACACACGUGCUACAAUGGCCGGUACAAACCGUCGCAAACUCGCAAGGGUGAGCUAAUCGGAGAAAGCCGGUCUCAGUUCGGAUUGUAGGCUGCAACUCGCCUGCAUGAAGUUGGAAUCGCUAGUAAUCGCGGAUCAGCACGCCGCGGUGAAUACGUUCCCGGGCCUUGUACACACCGCCCGUCACACCACGAAAGCCAG
rnacentral:rRNA from 1 species